UGUAUUUAUUAGAUAAAAAACCAAUGCCCUUCGGGGCUUUUUGGUGAUUCAUGAUAACUNUACGGAUCGCAUAGCCUUGCGCUGGCGACGGUUCAUUCAAAUUUCUGCCCUAUCAACUUUCGAUGGUAAGGUAUUGGCUUACCAUGGUUUCAACGGGUAACGGGGAAUUAGGGUUCGAUUCCGGAGAGGGAGCCUGAGAAACGGCUACCACAUCCAAGGAAGGCAGCAGGCGCGCAAAUUACCCAAUCCCGACACGGGGAGGUAGUGACAAUAAAUACUGAUACAGGGCUCUUUUGGGUCUUGUAAUUGGAAUGAGUACAAUUUAAACCUCUUAACGAGGAACAAUUGGAGGGCAAGUCUGGUGCCAGCAGCCGCGGUAAUUCCAGCUCCAAUAGCGUAUAUUAAAGUUGUUGCAGUUAAAAAGCUCGUAGUUGAAACUUGGGCCUGGCUGGCGGGUCCGCCUCACCGCGUGCACUCGUCCGGCCGGGCCUUCCUUCUGAAGAACCUCAUGCCCUUCACUGGGCGUGCUGGGGAACCAGG
rnacentral:rRNA from 1 species